UAAGGUCGUUCCUAGACGCGUUGAAAAACCUAAAGUCAUUUCUAGGGUGUCUAGUGUAAUUCAUCCUAGACUUGUCAACAAGUAUCCUAGAGUCGUUUCUAGGCGAUCUAAAGUUGUUAACUCUAGAUUCAUUAUUCCAGCUCCUAGAAUUGUUUCUAGGUGGUCUAGAGUUAUUAAUCCUAGACUCAUUAAAGAACCUAGCUUCG
rnacentral:lncRNA from 1 species